GAUGAACGCUGGCGGCGUGCUUAACACAUGCAAGUCGAACGGAGUUAUUUAGAAGCUUGCUUUUGAAUAACUUAGUGGCGGACGGGUGAGUAACGCGUGGGUGACCUGCCUUAUACUGGGGGAUAACACUUAGAAAUAGGUGCUAAUACCGCAUAAGCGCACAGUUCUGCAUGGGACAGUGUGAAAAACUGAGGUGGUAUAAGAUGGACCCGCGUCUGAUUAGCUAGUUGGUGAGGUAACGGCCCACCAAGGCGACGAUCAGUAGCCGGCCUGAGAGGGUGAACGGCCACAUUGGGACUGAGACACGGCCCAAACUCCUACGGGAGGCAGCAGUGGGGAAUAUUGCACAAUGGGGGAAACCCUGAUGCAGCGACGCCGCGUGAGUGAAGAAGUUAUUCGUAACGUAAAGCUCUAUCAGCAGGGAAGAAAAUGACGGUACCUGACUAAGAAGCCCCGGCUAACUACGUG
rnacentral:rRNA from 1 species